rnacentral:rRNA from 1 species
CUCUGCGAGAAGUCCAUUGAACCUUAUCAUUUAGAGGAAGGAGAAGUCGUAACAAGGUUUCCGUAGGUGAACCUGCGGAAGGAUCAUUGUCGAGACCAAUCGAGCGAUUCGAAGAACUCGUAAAAUAAACGAUAAAUCAUUUAUUGCAGCUGAAGCUUUGCCUCCAUUGCUGGUGGGUUGCGAUGAAUGGUGGAUGUAAAAAACUCAAACCGACGCAACUCCGCGUCAAGGUAAUAUUGAAAAAUAUGAGCCUGUGAUCGGGCUUAGUUGUGUGGAGUGUCGAGGCACACCACAUGGAUUGACACGACUCUCGGCAAUGGAUAUCUCGGCUCUCGCAUCGAUGAAGAGCGCAGCGAAAUGCGAUAUGUGGUGUGAAUUGCAGAAUCCCGCGAACCAUCGAGUCUUUGAACGCAAGUUGCGCCUGAGGCCAACCGGCCAAGGGCACGUCUGCCUGGGCGUCAAGCAUUGCAUCGCUCCAUGCCAAUCCAACCCCCUCCAAUGGGCAUGUUGGAUGAGGCUGGGAUGUGCAUAGUGGCUCGUCGUGCCCAUUAUUGCGGCGGGUUGAAGAGCGGGUGCCAUCUCAUUGGCCACAAACAGUAAUAGGUGGAUAAGAGCUAUAAGCUAUUCCUAUAUUGUCUCGUGGCAUCUUAAGAAAAGAAUUUAUACCUUUGGGUAAUCCGAACCCAUGCAUUGCUCCACAUGCGAUAGUAUGGAAUGAGACCCCAGGAUGGGCUAGGCUACCCGCUGAGUUUAAGCAUAUCAA